rnacentral:lncRNA from 1 species
GUUAGUUGGUCUUAAAAUUCAUAUACUCCUAUGUAGAAAGAUUUUAACGUAUUAUUAAACAGAACUAAUUUUAAUAUAUUCUCUAUGUAAGCUAACAUAACUUGUUGUAUGCCAAUAUUCAGUUUGCAAGAUUCCAGGUUUUCAUAGGUAUUCAUGACUGGUGAUGUUUCAUUAUCUUAGUGCUUUGUCUAUAAUUACUACAGCUGUCCAUAAAGCAGCUUUAAGAGUUCUGCUUCAGUCCAGAGAGAUUCUGUCUUCAUGGAACUGAGACAGGGCGAUUCCUACUUCUUUCUUAGUUAACUAAGGAUUCAUAAGGAAUAAUGCUGGGCUUGCACAGUUGACCUAGACAGUAUUUAGUAUUGACCUCAAGUUUUCAGCAUGCGUCCCCUGAGCUCAGACUGCUUGAAGGACACAAACAAACAGGAGUCUCGGCACUGUGGGAGCUUCUAUUUUUCCCAACAUAGAACUGAUUUAAGCAGAUGUGUGACAUAUUGUUUGUUUGGUUUUUUGUUGUAUCCAAGAGCAAUUUUCAUGCUGAGUUGGCUCUACCACAACUUUAAUAGUAGUGCCUCACACCUGAUAAUUGGUGGUGUUUUCAUAUUUUCUAUUUUUUAUUUUAUUUUAUUUUAUUUUAUUUUAUUUAUUUAUUUAUUUUUUUAAAUCAGAGUAAUUUCAGCCCUAGAGAGUCACAUUAUAGUGGGUUUCUCCAGCACUGAAUCAAAGUCAGCGUUUUGUGUUUGGUGUUGAUACUGGAAAAUGUCACAUUUCAGAGUGACUUAGUCCUCGUUUUGGAAGACUUUUCUUCCUUAAAAUUACCUUUGGUGUAAGGAGAAAAACCACAUCAGGUGGCUCCUGAGCAGAAUUAGUCAAGGAAGAGGAGAACAUGAAAUACCUCUGCCCAUGAUGUAAUAAUGAUCAUGGGUGUAGCCGACUGGCACAUAUUAUCAUGGUAACAAGUCACAGAAAUCCACAGAAAUCUAGAAAUCCAUUUGCUAGACAAAAUGCAGAAUAGUGAUCAUGAAAAUUUGGAAUCCCUUGUGGCUGUGAGGCUGAUUUUCCAUUUCUAAUGAAUGCUGUCAGACUCGUGGCCUCAAGCUUUUGAUUAUUUCCCAUAAGAAAAGCAAAAUACAUGGACCCCUUAAGGGAUCUUCUUGCUUUAAUUUAGCACUGUUAUUUUAUUUAAUAGCACAACACAUGUCAAAAUUGAAAGAGUUGUGCCGCUUUUUUUUUUUUUUUAUGUAUUUGCCUUAUAAUGAAAG